AAGCGUGCGCAGGCGGUUUUGUAAGUCAGAUGUGAAAUCCCCGAGCUCAACUUGGGAACUGCGUUUGAAACUACAAGGCUAGAGUAUGGUAGAGGGGGGUAGAAUUCCACGUGUAGCAGUGAAAUGCGUAGAGAUGUGGAGGAAUACCAAUGGCGAAGGCAGCCCCCUGGACUAAUACUGACGCUCAUGCACGAAAGCGUGGGGAGCAAACAGGAUUAGAUACCCCUGGU
rnacentral:rRNA from 1 species